AAUCAACGCUGGCGGCGUGCCUCAGACAUGCAAGUCGAACGCGAAAGUUUCCUUCGGGAGGCGAGUAGAGUGGCGCACGGGUGAGUAACACGUAGGUAAUCUACCUUUGGGUGGGGAAUAACAGCCGGAAACGGCUGCUAAUACCGCAUAAUGCAGCGGCUCGACAUCGAGACAGUUGUUAAAGCGGGGGAUCGCAAGACCUCGCGCCUAAAGAGGAGCCUGCGGCGGAUAGCUAGUUGGUGAGGUAAUGGCUCACCAAGGCAUCGAUCCGUAGCCGGCCUGAGAGGGCGGUCGGCCACACUGACACUGACAUACGGGUCAGACUCCUACGGGAGGCAGCAGUCGGGAAUUUUGGGCAAUGGGCGCAAGCCUGACCCAGCAACCGCCGCGUGAAGGAUGAAAUCCCUCGGGAUGUAAACUUCGCAAGAACAGGAAGAAUAAGUGGGGGAC
rnacentral:rRNA from 1 species